rnacentral:lncRNA from 1 species
AGGCGUCGCGCUGGCUACUCUGGUACCCCCAGGACGGGGUCUCAGUGAGGAGGCAGGGUCUCCACGCACUGGAAUAGUGUCAAACCACACACAAGGGCACAGAACCCAGGGACCCAGGGCGGCUGAGACACGCAGCUGGUGAUGGCCCUCAGGAUGGUGUCAACCAGUAUGUAAUCACUUUCCACAGGGCACCAACUGGACAGAGGCCUCCGGUCAGCCUCACUCUGACUGCAACCCCCUCUCACUAGACAGCAUCACCUGGACACAGAGCCUCACCUAGUCUGUGUCCCAUGGACACAACUUUGCUUUGGACAGUGACACCAAGAAUACUCACCCCUUUACUUAGCCAGACCACAGGCAGCCACCUGGACACAAACAUCUCUCCAGAGUCACCCUCCACAUAGACUCCACAGCAGAACUCCCAGGGAGGCACUGGGGCAUGGCUUCAGAGCACCAGGCAGCCCUCCGCGGUGCCCAGCACCCGCUCAGCCAGGGCAGCCUGCAGCGGAGCCUGGAGCCCGC